rnacentral:lncRNA from 1 species
CUAAUUAAUGUGAAUUAAUAAGUCUCAUAAUUAUGUUUAUUCACCAGGUUCUUUCUACAUAAUUAUUGUUAUACACUUUAAUAAAUUGCUUAGGAAGGCCACCUCCAAAUCCAAAUUAAGUGUAAUGUUUCGUUUCCUAUUUUCUUCCCAGGGGCACAUGAUUAUGUUGGAAAAAGCUUUGACCUGAUAAUUAAGUUCCGUAUCUUGCUCUCCCUCCUCGAGAAGACUUAGAUCUCUGCUCUCUCUUUAAAACAUUACAUACUUAUAGGCUUUGCCUAUCCAACGGAAGGACUCUUCUAGGCUGUAAGUGGCUCUCCUGAAAUUUUAAGGAUUUCAAACAAAAAUGCAUGCAGUCUUUGUACUUUAAAAUUCAGGCAUUCCAAACUUCUAAUGUGUUGUCUGUGAUUAAGAAUGCAAAAGUCACAGGAUUCAGGAAAUAUCUUGAGAGUAUUAGCCACAUGAACAUUUUGUGAUGUAACUUAUACAUUUUUUUAAUAUAGAAAGCUUUU